rnacentral:rRNA from 1 species
GACGAACGCUGGCGGCGUGCUUAACACAUGCAAGUCGAACGGAAAGGCCCUGCUUUUGUGGGGUGCUCGAGUGGCGAACGGGUGAGUAACACGUGAGUAACCUGCCCUUGACUUUGGGAUAACUUCAGGAAACUGGGGCUAAUACCGGAUAGGAGCUCCUGCUGCAUGGUGGGGGUUGGAAAGUUUCGGCGGUUGGGGAUGGACUCGCGGCUUAUCAGCUUGUUGGUGGGGUAGUGGCUUACCAAGGCUUUGACGGGUAGCCGGCCUGAGAGGGUGACCGGCCACAUUGGGACUGGGAUACGGCCCAGACUCCUACGGGAGGCAGCAGUGGGGAAUUUUGCACAAUGGGCGGAAGCCUGAUGCAGCAACGCCGCGUGCGGGAUGACGGCCUUCGGGUUGUAAACCGCUUUCGCCUGUGACGAAGCGUGAGUGACGGUAAUGGGUAAAGAAGCACCGGCUAACUACGUG